AAGAAAGAAUGUAAUGUUUAAGACAAAUAUAAUUGUUUAAUCAUGACAUAUUCAUAAUUUAUUUUUAAGGCUAGAAGAUGGAUUUUAUAAACCAGCAAAUAGAUAAUAAAAAAUAAAUAGUUUUGUAAUAAUAUAUAUGUACAUACAUAAAUUUCAAUGUGUGCUUCAGUAAAAUAGCAAGAGUCCUGAGCAAGAGUCCCCAUAAACAGUUGGCAUCUCUUGCAUAAUGUCUUAUGGUGUUUCCCCCUACUUAGUGAGAAAUUCAACCAAGGCUCUAAAGUCGAUUUCUUUUCACAGUUGUAUUUUCCAUUUCAAGUUGUGUGUUUCGGAACACCUGCGUACUUAGAAAAUCUGCCAAACUACGACACACAGACGCCCUAUGAUGCAAGAUGUUGUUGUAGCGGCAUGUAUGGGGAGUGAUAGUAUGCUGCUGGAGUGACUGUCCUUGGCCGUAUAUAAAUCCGGUCGUUCCGGUAACUUUUAAGCGACCAACAUUGGAACGUACACAAUAUGUUAUUGUUCCUAAUGUUCAAGUUUCAUUCAGUGUUACUAACAAUGGAAUUGAACAAAUUUAUAUUCGCUGAAGGAUAUCGUACGCUAACGGAUGAAAUUGGAGCGUUUCAGACAAAAUUUUAUGUAAAGGAACAAAUUUAAACGAUCAAGUUUGCUUCGUUUGGAUUUACAUACAUAUGUACGUCUUUUGCUCUUUUUUGGCAUAUAAUGUUUUAUUUUAAAUAGAGUUACGCACUUAUGAAAUAUUUUCUUUUGUUUUUUAAGAUUUCAUUAUUAUUCUUUGUUAAUAUCCAGAAUAUUUAAAUCUGGGAGGGUCUAAAUCAGUAAAAAGAUUUUCGUAUUUCCAUACAUACGUAUGAAGACAGAUUUGAAUAAAAUAAACUAAAAUUCCCGCAUUUUA